GUGGAACAUGAUGAAUAAGGAGGGUUCAGGAGACGCUUCCCUCAGGAAGUGACAUGUAAGAUGGAACAUGAUGAAUAAGAUGUAAGGUGGAACAUGAUGAAUAAGGAGGGUUCAGGAGAAGCUUCCCUCAGGAAGUGACGUUUAAGGUGGAACAUGAUGAAUAAGGAGGGUUCAGGAGAAGCUUCCCUCAGGAAGUGACGUUUAAGGUGGAACAUGAUGAAUAAGGAGGGUUCAGGAGAAGCUUCCCUCAGGAAGUGACGUUUAAGGUGGAACAUGAUGAAUAAGGAGGGCUCCGCCAGGCAACAAGGUGGCUGCAGAGCGCAUCACACACAACGGGCAGCACACGCAACAGCUCUGGGCAUGUGUGGGAAAAUGAAAGUGAGCCAAGGGAGCAGAACUACACUGAGCAAGAGGCCACUGCAGGGAGGGAAAAUCAGAGCAGUCAUAAGAAGCUCAAGGCUUUCGGCUUUGCACCAAGAGCAACAGAAAGCCCCUAAAGAAUUCUGCGAAAGGGGAUGAAAAGAGUAGUAUACUUAAUUAUAUUUAGAGUACGAACUCAAUUAUUUUUUAAAAUGUACAGAAAUGACUAGAAGUAGAUAUAUUACAAAUACUGAAUUGUUGCAAUACUGCCCUGAUAGUAAGAUUAUAAAUAUUUUUAUGCACACUUUUCAAGCUUCCCAAAUUUAUACUAUCCAUAAAUUCCUACAGUUAAAGAAAAAAAAAAAAAAACCCACACCCCCAAACACAGCACUGGAGUAGCUCCCUUCUUCCCUUGCCUCAGGCAACUUUUCCAUCCAUUGCACACAUUUAUUUGCAUGAUACAUCCUUGAUCCAGACUUAGUCGGCUAUAAAUUCUAAGUGAUAACUUGUCUCUGCCCCUCCACUUCACCCACUACCAAAGCUGUAACUCAGAUGACAACAAUUUUUUUUUUUUUUGACACGGGGUUUUACUCUGUCACCCAAGCUGGAGUGCAGUGACACAAUC
rnacentral:lncRNA from 1 species